GUCUAGUAAUCAGGUAGAAAUUGAUGUAACACGAUGUAUUUGUCUGUCAUUGGUGAGCACAAAUACUAAUUUACAUAACCAACAGCAAGAACAACGUGUAUAUUAAAAUUAAUAUUGCGUUAAAGGUGAUGUUAAAUUUUGUAUGUAAGUGGAAUUUUGUAUACCAAAUGAAGAGAUAGAUGCGAGAUUCCUCGUGCAACGCGAUGUGAUUGGGGCUGCAGGUACAUGUUAUUGAGUAAUUAAAGCGUGUGUCACGAUAAUCUUACUAGCAAUGUUUCGAAUAUUCACGCACAGUAACAGUGACCAGAGGAAUAGGUGAGAAUGUGUUCUCGGAAAUCACUGAACUGCCUGACUAGGAGUCGGUGUUCGGGGUUAGUUGCCGGAGGUAGGUUCGCUGCUAGGAGUAGAUGGACCGGGGUAUGAGAGCGCGUGCCACUCUGAUUGUGGCGGCCAUACUGGGACACACGAGCCACAUACCGACGAUUCUUGGUUUCAUGCGGCGUGCCUAGACACCCUGAGAAUACUUAUGACUUGCUGAAGCGGUGCGGCUUGGCUUCCCGUCUAACUAAGGACGUCGUUUAAAAAACUGCUUACUUUUAUGUAAAAAGAUUACGUAUACGUAGCAAAGAAAAUGCAAGACAGGCAAUUUCCCAAACGAUGGAUUGAUCGCGGUGGAGAAUUUCUAUGGCCAUCACGCUCAUCGGAUCUAAAGCUGCUAGGCUUCUUUCCGUGGUAGACGUUAAAGAACAUAGUGUACCGAGGACAACACCGGAGAAUACGGAACAACGAAUUCAUGAAGUAUUACCGGUUCGUUAAUAAAUUGCAUCAUCUUUGUAGCAAUGUCAAUGGAUAAUGACAGCAAUGUGAAUGAAGACAACAGAGUGCGAUAAGAUGAAAAAUAUCGAGUAUAGUAGUAGGAAUAUUUGUCAUUUCUUCGGUGGAGUAAUUUCGACGAACGCCACGAGUAAAAGGCUCAGAUCGAAUAAUAUUAAGCAUCAACUUUUCGUGUGCCGAGAUGCGAGCACAAAGAAAUAUUUUCUAUGCGUGCAUUACAGCGGAAAAAUUCAAUUUCACUUUUAAAAAUUCAUCUCGAGACUUCUGUUCGAUGCCAGGUUUUUAAAAUCUGGUGCUGGUGCGCGGUUCGUGUGCAUUAAUUUGCGCAACAAAGAGCUUUUAUAACAUGUUGGGGUGAGUUUAAAGGUUGGAAGAGAUCGCAUGCAAAAAGCUUCCGUUCUUGUUACAUAAGCCGGUUUUAACUAACUUCUCGGUACACUAACUAUGCCCUAUGUAUAAAUUUCUGUUCAAUCAGAGAGGCGCACACUUCUUCACGUAGCAAACUUUCAUUUCAGAAAAUGUUUACAGGCGGUUA
rnacentral:lncRNA from 1 species